GGCGCUAUCGUCUAGGGGCCUAGGACGGGUGGUUCUCAGCCAUCAGACCGGGGUUCAAAUCCCCGUAGCGCUACCA
rnacentral:tRNA from 1 species